rnacentral:rRNA from 1 species
UACGUAGGGUGCGAGCGUUAAUCGGAAUUACUGGGCGUAAAGCGUGCGCAGGCGGCGUCGCAAGUCAGGCGUGAAAUCCCCGAGCUUAACUUGGGAAUUGCGCUUGAAACUACGAUGCUCGAGUGUGGCAGAGGGAGGUGGAAUUCCACGUGUAGCGGUGAAAUGCGUAGAUAUGUGGAGGAACACCGAUGGCGAAGGCAGCCUCCUGGGCCAACACUGACGCUCAUGCACGAAAGCGUGGGGAGCAAACAGG